GAUGAACGCUAGCGGCAGGCUUAACACAUGCAAGUCGAGGGGUAUAGUAGCAAUACUAGAGACCGGCGCACGGGUGCGUAACGCGUAUGCAAUCUACCUUUCACAGAGGGAUAGCCCAGAGAAAUUUGGAUUAAUACCUCAUAGUAUACUACCUUGGCAUCAAGGAAUUAUUAAAGUCACAACGGUGAAAGAUGAGCAUGCGUCCCAUUAGCUAGUUGGUAUGGUAACGGCAUACCAAGGCGACGAUGGGUAGGGGUCCUGAGAGGGAGAUCCCCCACACUGGUACUGAGACACGGACCAGACUCCUACGGGAGGCAGCAGUGAGGAAUAUUGGACAAUGGGCGCAAGCCUGAUCCAGCCAUGCCGCGUGCAGGAUGACGGUCCUAUGGAUUGUAAACUGCUUUUGUACAGGAAGAAACACUCCCUCGUGAGGGAGCUUGACGGUACUGUAAGAAUAAGGAUCGGCUAACUCCGUGCCAGCAGCCGCGGUAAUACGGAGGAUCCAAGCGUUAUCCGGAAUCAUUGGGUUUAAAGGGUCCGUAGGCGGUCUUAUAAGUCAGUGGUGAAAUCUCCCCGCUCAACGGGGAAACGGCCAUUGAUACUGUAAGACUUGAAUUAUUAGGAAGUAACUAGAAUAUGUAGUGUAGCGGUGAAAUGCUUAGAGAUUACAUGGAAUACCAAUUGCGAAGGCAGGUUACUACUAAUGGAUUGACGCUGAUGGACGAAAGCGUGGGUAGCGAACAGGAUUAGAUACCCUGGUAGUCCACGCCGUAAACGAUGGAUACUAGCUGUUGGAAGCAAUUUCAGUGGCUAAGCGAAAGUGAUAAGUAUCCCACCUGGGGAGUACGUUCGCAAGAAUG
rnacentral:rRNA from 1 species